UACGAGGGGGGCAAGCGUUGUUCGGAAUUAUUGGGCGUAAAGGGCGCGUAGGCGGUGCGGUAAGUCACCUGUGAAACCUCUAGGCUUAACCUAGAGCCUGCAGGCGAAACUGCCGUGCUUGAGGGUGGGAGAGGUGCGUGGAAUUCCCAGUGUAGCGGUGAAAUGCGCAGAUAUCAGGAGGAACACCCGUAGCGAAGGCGGCACUCUGGGCCGAUUCUGACACUGAGGAGCGAAAGCGUGGGGAGCGAACAGG
rnacentral:rRNA from 1 species